rnacentral:rRNA from 1 species
CCGGUUAGCCCAACGAGAUCGGGAUAACACCUGGAAACAGAUGCUAAUACCGGAUAACAACAGAUGAUGCCUAUCAACUGUUUAAAAGAUGGUUCUGCUAUCACUCUUGGAUGGACCUGCGGUGCAUUAGCUAGUUGGUAGGGUAACGGCCUACCAAGGCGAUGAUGCAUAGCCGAGUUGAGAGACUGAUCGGCCACAUUGGGACUGAGACACGGCCCAAACUCCUACGGGAGGCAGCAGUC